rnacentral:rRNA from 1 species
CCUACGGGAGGCAGCAGUGAGGAAUAUUGGUCAAUGGGCGAGAGCCUGAACCAGCCAAGUCGCGUGAGGGAGUACUGCCCUAUGGGUUGUAAACCUCUUUUGUCGGGGAGCAAAAGCCGGACGUGUCCGGCUGUGAGAGUACCCGAAGAAAAAGCAUCGGCUAACUCCGUGCCAGCAGCCGCGGUAAUACGGGGGGUGCAAGCGUUAUCCGGAUUUAUUUGGUUUAAAGGGUGCGGAGGCGGUGAUGUAAGUCAGCGGGGAAAUGCCCGGGCUCAACGGGGUGCAGUGCAAUUGAUACUGGGGUGCUAGAGUGAGGGUGAGGUAGGAGGAAUGGGUGGUGUAGCGGUGAAAUGCAUAGAUAUCACACAGAACACCGAUUGCGAAGGCAGCUCACGGGUCCGCAAUUGACGCUGAUGCACGAAAGCGUGGGUAUCAAACAGGAUUAGAUACCCCUGUAGUC